UAUUACCUAUACCCCGCCGCUGAGGCAGAAUUUAUGCCCUAGUGAGUAGGCAGGCGUAGAGGCUUAUGACGAAGCCUUAGGGGUGACCUUGGGUUGAACGGCCUCUAGUGCAGAUCUUAGUAGUAGUAGCAAAUACUUAAAUGAGAACUUUAAGGACUAAAGUAGAGAAAGGUUCUGUGUGAAUAGCAGUUGGACACGGGUUAGUUAAUCCUAAGAGAUAGAGUAGUUCUGUUUUAAUGUUAGCGCUUGCGCUACGCCCUUGAAAGAGAAGCCGGUUAACAUUCCGGCACCUAGAUGUAGAUUCUCUGCAGCAACGCAACUAAGAGCGGAGACCUUAGCGGGAGCCCUAAGAAGAGUUCUCUUUUCUUCUUAAUAGUCUGUCACCCUAAAAUCAGUUUGUCUAGAGCUAGGGUUUAAUAGCUGGAAGAGCGCUGCACUUUUGUAGCGUUUGGUGCGCUCCUGAUGAGCCUUGAAAAUCUGCUUGAAGAAAUAGUUUUUACGCCAGGUCGUACUUAUAACUGCAGCAGGUCUCCAAGGUAAAAAGCCUCUAGUUGAUAGAACAAUGUAGAUAAGAGAAGUUAGCAAAAUAGAUCUGUAACUUUAGAAAAAGGAUUGGCUCUAAGGGUUGGGUACGUUAGGCCUUAGAGAGAAGCCUCUAGCGCAGAAGGGCACUAGCUGCAAGGUAGGCGCCUUUUAGCGCUAGGGUGCGGGCAUCCUUAGCAGGCUUCGGCCGUCUAGCGUACGUUUAACAACUAACUUAGAACUAGUACAGAUAAGGGGAAUCUGACUGUCUAAUUAAAACAUAGCAUUGCAAUAGCUAGAAAGUAGUGUUAACGCAAUGUAAUUUCUGCCUAGUGCUCUAAAUGUCAAAGCGAAGAGAUUCGACUAAGCGCAGGUAAACGGCGGGAGUAACUAUAACUCUCUUAAGGUAGCUAAAUGCCUCGUUAUCUAAUUAGUAACGCGCAUGAAUAGAUUAACGAGAUUCCUACUGUCUCUAUCUACUAUCUAGCGAAACCACAGCUAAGAGAACGGGCUUAGCUAAAUUAGCAGAGAAAGAAGACCCUAUUAAGCUUAACUCUAGUUUAACAUUGUGAAAAGAUAUAGAGGGUGUAGAAUAGGUGAGAGCUUCAGCGCUGGUGAAAUACUACUACUCUUAUUGUUUUUUUACUUAUUUAAUAAAGCGGAGCUGGGCCUUACUGCUUAACUUCUAGCGUUAAGGUCCUUCGUAGGCUGAUCUGGGUUGAAGACAUUGUUAGGUAGGGAGUUUAGCUAAGGCAGCACAUCUGUUAAACUAUAACGCAGGUGUCCUAAGGGGGACUUAUAGAGAACAGAAAUCUCUAGUAGAGCAAAAGGGCAAAAGUCCCCUUAAUUUUAAUUUUUAGUGUGAAUACAAACUAUGAAAGUGUAGCCUAUUAAUCCUUUAGUCCCUUAAAAUUUGAGGCUAGAGGUGCUAGAAAAGUUACUACAGGGAUAACUAGCUUAUAGUAGCUAAGCGUUUAUAGCGACGUUGCUUUUUAAUCCUUUAAUAUCGGCUCUUCCUAUCAUACUAAAGCAGAAUUCAGUAAGCGUUAGAUUGUUCACCUACUAAUAGAGAACGUAAGCUAGGUUUAGACCGUCGUAAGAUAGGUUAGUUUUACUCUACUGAUGACCUUGCCCUAAUAG
rnacentral:rRNA from 1 species